rnacentral:lncRNA from 1 species
ACACCAUGAGAAAGCGACUUCAGAGGUGGUAUUCUGGCUGUGGCACCUGCUCCUGGAGGAUCAGCUGUCCCAGGACAUGCUGGGGCCAGACAGGGCAGGGGCGGUGGCGGCUGAAUGAGUCUGGCCUGAGAUUCAAUCGGGUGACCUGGGCACAGUUGAGUUUUAUCAGGUAUCUGUUAAGCACCUACUCCUUGUCAGCAUUGUGGUCUGUGCUAAAAAAGCACUGAAGAAUGAGACUUGAUCAAACCCUUCCUGAAGCUUACUGGAGAAGAAAGAUUCAACUGACAAGCCUGUGAGUCCUAAAAGAAGAAAUGCAGAUUGCUAAGGCAUCAAGGAUUGGGGACUUCACUGAAUCUUGGGGGGGUCAAGAAGGGGUCCCUAGAAAGGUGAUGCUCUUGCAGAGACUUGAUGCACGUAAAAGGAGCUUGGGACUUUGGAAGUGGUUGUAAACAUCAGUUCUUGCGCCCUCUGCCUGGGAUCGUUUUCUCACCAACACCUGCUGGCUUUGAAUGAAACUCCCUCCCCCUUUAGGGAACUUAUGCAGCUGAAGAGAAAUGGAUGCUGGGAACUGCUUCCAGGGACCUGGAAAUUGAUGAAGACACACACAAGGUAACGGACACGGGGCCAGCUGCGACAUUUUCUGUGUGCCUUAAUGAGGAGUGUUGGGGCUGUGCUACUAAGAGCUGAACUCUUGGCCCAGCUCGCCCGGCUGAAGGAGAAGGGGGAGAAGCUGGCAGACUGCGGCGCUUUGUGAGGAGAAAACAAAUGGGCCUGUAACUUGAUCGAGGUGGCGAGGGGAGGCGGCCAGGGCUCUAGGGAUGAAGAAUAGCUUCUCAGAGUAUUGUCAGGGGGAGGAGGCAGCCAGCAGAGCUGACUGCGGGGCUGGCGCGUGGUCUGCCAGCUUGAGCAUCCUUGGGCUGCCAUGCCCACCUGUCUGGAGCACCUUCUAUGGGUCAGGGACAUUUGCAGAGGGUAGGAGGUAGUCCUUGUGGCAACCGCACCCGGUGAGGAGUAUUUCUACCCCUGUUUUCUAGAUGAGACACCUGAGGCUCAGAGAAGUGAAGUAGCUUGCCUGAGGCCACACAGCCAGUCAGUGAUGAAGGCAGGGCUUAUAUCCGGCUCUGUAUGUCUUUAGAGUGACAUUUCUUCCACUGUCUCUUGCUGCCUGACAAUUUUGGGGGGCAAUGGUUCCUUCUGAAUUUUCUACAUGUAAUAAUGACAGUAAGAAUCCCUUUCAAGGGAUAUAUUUCACAAAGAGUCCUCUUGCAAAUGCCAUUUCACAGCGUCUUUAUAGUGUUUUCCCUUUGAGGUGAAAUGUUAUCCUCAAAUUUGAGCUGAGGACAUAGAAACACAGCCAGGCGGGCAGCUCCCCUAAAUGCCACUCAGCAAGGAGCUGAGACUGGCGAGGCCAAAUGGCAGGCACUUGCUACCAUUGUAUGGAGACCCAGGUGGGCUCCUCAGGUGUUCGACGAGACCCAGAGUAUCUCCCACUCCUUCAAAUGAGAAGCCCAAGAACAAACAGUUUGUUUUUCUAACACGCUCAGAGCCUCUGCUUUGUUUCUAACCUUUGAUAAAGCCAGCAGCCCAAAUCCCCUUUCCUGUGCCCCUCCUCCCGAGAAAGGGAUGGCCAGCCAUGUGUAUUUUUCACUGGGGCUCUCACAAAGAAUGCUGCAUAUAAUAUGAAACAUGUGUCAUGGUGUUUGCUGGAGGGCCCCACCCCAUGCCCUUCCCUGCGCUGUGGGAGCCUCCGGUGUGGGGGGAUGGGAGGGGGUCAGAGCCCCAGACACCUAGAGCAUUUCUCCCGAACCGGAACUGCCCCCACCUGCAGGCAGAGCUGGUACCCAGCUCCAUCAUCCAUCUCAUCUCACUUCCCCAUUGGAGACCUUGUCACCCCACGUUUGCGUUUCUGGCAAUGUGUUGUGAGCCCGGCCUCAAACUCAGAUGUGUGAAUUUCAGCUGGAAAGGUACAUGGGCUGCGCUCAAUAACAUCUGUGGGGUAAAUUAUAGGGUGAAUCGGGGAUGAACUGCUCUUCCUCCCAUCUCCCGGAAGUUGGCGCGCUGUGAUAUUGCUGAAGGAAAGAAUAAGUGCUCUGUGAUGGGGCUGUUCACCUCGACGUGUUUCUAGAGAAUUCUGAAGCCAGAGGAAGACCGUCACUAUUUUUGCCAUUCCCUUCUUAGGAGGCAGGAUUGUUGGGAGCCCUGGUCCUUGAACCGGGGGUAGGUGUUAGAAUCACCUGUAGGCUCGUGAUAGAUGGCUAGCCCCACCCCUCAGGGUGUAUUUUUGCAUCUUUAACACGUUCCUGGUGGAUGAGACAGUGCUGGUUCAGGGGCGUGGGAGCUCAGAUGGUCUUUUUCAAGUGGGGUGCGGAUGGAGCCCAAGAGAAAAAAGAAACAGAAGAGAGAGUGACUGUGUUGUGGUGUCGUGUCUGAUGGUGUCUCAAGGGCACAGGGAUCAGCAUAGACCAGAGCCACCAGGACGGGCCUCCUGGAUGUGUGGUGGUGAAGGACACAAGGGAUUUGGAAAGUAAAAGGAAGGAGAGCUUUGGGCGAAGGCCGGUGCGGAGGCAGCGCUGAGAUGAGACCAGCCUGCAGAGGGAGGGGGACGAAAACAACCUUCCUCAUCAGGGUUGCCUGGAGUUUACACUCUCCAAACCCCCUGCACAGAGCCCAGACAGCCUGGCAGGGCAGGGGUCACCUUCCCAUCUCCAAGGAGGAAACCAGCACAGGGGGUCAUGGGAAUUGAGGAAGGAGGGCCCAGGGCCACAAGCUUUGGCAGCUUAUUCUCUUACAACGGGUUGACCUUUCCCCUGUUUGAAAGCUCUUUGCAGCUGCUUUCCCCAGGGUGAGCAAUGCAGUCUAAGCCUUGGCAGGAAUCAUGGUUUCUCUCACCUGAUUUUUUUUCUUGUUCCAGUUUGCACUUACAAAUGUCAUCAACACAGAAACCACUGUUGCCCUUCUUAUGCCAUUGGCUGGUGACUGUCUCCUCUUCCUGGUUCCUGAGACCUAUGAGGGUCACCCCAUAGCCCUGGAGAAGAGGAGGGAAUGGAGAAAUCUGGACUGAAAACUCACCCUGUAUCAGCACCACGUUUGGCAUGUUUAUACAGGAGAUCUCACUUAGCCUACAGAGCCCAGGGCAUGUAGAGACAAGGUCGCUGAAGCUCAUGCUGAGGGUAAAGCUCAGGCUCAAGGUUAAACCCCUAGCUUGAGCUCUUGUUGUUAGCUGGUGGAGCUGAUAUCCAACCUCCAAUCUGUUUGAGUUCAGAUGAGCCAAAUAAAUAGCUGGUUAUAAAAGGCCAGAAACUGGAGCCUUACCUGAUAUCAGUGCACACUGGGAAAAGGUUUCCAGAACACCCUGUGCUGUUUUUGCAGGGUCACACCUUUGCACAUGCUGGCCUCCUUUCCAAACUUUCCAGCCUCUCCUGCACUCAAGCUCCCCUUCAUCCUUCAAGCAGCCCCAUGAUGCCUCUGAGGUCCCCCACCUGCAGAGGUGCCUCUCUUCCAAGUUCCCCUUUCUUGUAUUUCUCCUUAACAUGGAAUUUAGCACCAUCUAUCAUAAUGGGUGUUUUCUUGGGCUUUUUUUCAACUGACUCUAAACUCAACUGCAUAUGUCUUUUUGAAUUACAGUUUUCUCUGGAUAUACGCCCUGAAGUGAGAUUGCUGGAUCAUGUGGCAAAUCUAUUUUUAGUUUUUUGAGUAUUCUCCAUACUGUUUUCCAUAGUGGCUGUACCAGUUUACAUUUCCACCAGCAGUGUAGGAGGGUUCCCUUUUCUCCACAUCCUGUCCAGCAUUUAUUAUUUGUAGAUUUUUAAAAUGGUGGCUAUUCCGACUGGAGUGAGGUGGUACCUCAUUAUAGUUUUGAUUUGCAUUUCUCUAAUAAUUAGUGAGGGGGUUCCCAUCGUGGCUCAGUGGAAACAAAACUGGCUAGUAUCCAAGAGGAUGCAAAUUUGAUCCCUGUCCCCUUUCAGUGGAUUAAGGAUCUGGCGUUGCUGUGAGCUGCAGUGAAGUUUGCAGAUGCAGCUCAGAUGUGGCAUUGUGGCUGUGGCUGUGGCUGUGGCGUAGGCUAGCAGCUGCAGCUCCGAUUUGACCCCUAGCCUAGGAACUUCCAAAUACCAUGGGUGUGGCCCUAAAAAGACAAAAAUAAUUAGUGAUGUUGAGCAUCGCUUCAUGUGCCUAUUGGCCAUCUGUAUGUCUUCUUUGGAGAAAUGUCUAUUUAGGUCUUUUUGCCCAUUUUUUGAUUGGGUUGUUUUUUUGGUGUUGAGUUGUAUGAGCUGUUUGUAUAUUUUGGAAAUUAAGCCCUUGUGAGUUACAUUAUUUUGCAAAUACUUUCUCCAAGUCUGUAGGUUGUUUUCUUCAUUUUGUUUAUAGUUUCCUUUGCUGUAUGAAAGCUUAUAAAUUUGAUUAUGUCUCAUUUGUUUGUAUUUGAUUUUAUUUCUAUUGCCUUGGGAAACUGACCUAAGAAAACAUUGCUACGAUUUAUGUCAGGAAAUGUUUUGCUUAUGUUCUCUUCUAGGAGUUUUAUCGUGUCAUGUCUUAUAUUUAAGUCUUUAGGCCAUUUUGAGUUUAUUUUUGUGUACAUUGUGAGGGUGUGUUCUAACUUCAUUGAUUUACGUGCAGCUGUCCAACUUUCCCAAUACCACUUGCUGAAGAGACCCUUUUUUCCAUUGUAUAUUCCUGCCUCCUUUGUUGAAGAUUAAUUGACUGUAGGUGUGUGGGUUUAUUUCUGGGCUAUUUUGUUUCAUUGAUCCAUAUGACUCUUUCUGUGCCAAUACCGUGCUGUUUUGAUUACUGUAGCUUUAAAGUAUUGUCUGAAGUCUGGAAAGGUUAUGCUUCCUGCUUUCUUCUUGUUCCUCAAGAUUGCUUUGGCAAUUCUAGGUCUUUUAUGGUUCCAUAUAACUUUUAGGAUCAUUCUAGUUCAAUGAAAAAUGUCAUGGGUAAUUUGAUAGGGAUUGCAUUAACUCUGUAGUUUGCUUUGGGUAGUAUGUCAACUGCCCAGAUUUUCUAUUUAGAAUUUGUGUUACUCUCUGAUGAUCAACCCUGGAGACUGCUAACCACCUGCCUGAUACCCAUUCUCUUCAUCUUGCAUACUGAUUUUAGUGAAUUGGAGAGUGCAAGAUGCCCAGUUAAAAAGGACAUUUCCCAGCCUCCUUAGAAGCAAGGGGUGGCCCUGUGACUAGGUAUUGGCCAAAUGAGAUAGAAGAUGAAGUUUUGGGGUGGGAUGUGGGGAAAGCCCCUUAAAAAGGGAAGGGGAUAUGGAAGACAUAGGUCUUUUUAAAAAAUUUUCCUUUUAGAAUGGAGCAUGAUGAUAAUAGAAUUGCAGAAGCAAUCUCGACCAUGAGAGAACUUUGAGGGUAGAUGUAUGCUGAGGAUGGAGGAGCAGAAAGAUGGAAGGCGCUGGGGUUCUUAAAGGCCAUAGAUCCUAAGUUGCCUUCUUCUGGACCUCUUCCAUGAGAAAAAAAUAGACUUCUAUUUUUGUUUAAGUCAUUCUUAUCAGUUUCUGAUUAUUUAUGUGAAGAUGCAGGAAGGAAAGUAAGGUGUCAUCAGUUCUGGGCCUGGUGGGCUAGGAUGUUUUCAGAAAUAGAGUCCAGAAAGCUGCCAGAGGUAGUGCCUGCCUGAAUGGGGGUGCCUGUGGGCCAGAGGGCAGCUCGUGGCUGUGGGGUCCUGGUUCUCUCACCAGCACCACCUCCCACCCAGCUCCACCGAGUAGGAACAAGGCAGGACUUGGAGACUGGGGAGGGUGGGAGUCGGGGGUGGUCACAGCCACCUUGGGCUCAUCUCAGCAUUGCAUUUGGGGACUUUGAAUGGACUUCAGAGACCCAGAGUCUCUGUCAGACCUGAGGGUUGUCUACCCAGCAGCCACUUCUGUGAUGGUUUUGUUGUCAAAACACUGAUUUUGCUGCUCAAUUUGGUAACUCCUUUUCCUUUUUCCUGAUGUGUUUAGAAAAGGGACGUAUGAUCCUUCGUCAUGUCCCUGCCCACCCCCUUAUGAAAUACAAGGGGCUUGUCUGAGAAAGUUCUCCAUACUCUCUUCCUAAGAAGCAGCUCAAGACAAACCCUGAUCGUCUCUUGCCUUUGGGCAUUACUGAGUGAAUGUGUGAAGUUUGGAGUCACAGGAGUUCUCUUAACACCAUUAGAAAAAAAAAUCAGGAGUUCCCGUCGUGGCGCAGUGGUUAACGAAUCCGACUAGGAACCAUGAGGUUGCGGGUUCGGUCCCUGCCCUUGCUCAGUGGGUUAACGAUCCACCAUUGCCGUGAGCUGUGGUGUAGGUCGCAGACGCGGCUCAGAUCCUGCGUUGCUGUGGCUCUGGUGUAGGCUGGUGGCUACAGCUCCGAUUCAACCCCUAGCCCGGGAACCUCCAUAUGCCGCAGGAGCGGCCCGAGAAAUAGCAAAAAGCCAAAAAAAAAAAAAAAAAAAA